GAGCAUCCUACUCAUCAGCAUCAUAUUUCGUAGAAAAAUCUGCAGUGCAAAAACUGAUUUAACUUCACUCUAUUUGGAUUGAAGGACCCGGGAUGUAGGAAGAUGGGCCCAUGAACCAACAGGUCGUGAGGAAUACUGGGAGAGAAGCAGGUCCUCAAACGUGCUGUCAGGAGUCGGGUCAUGAAUAUGAUAAAGAUUCCAGUUUCUGUUCCUUUGAUUGAACUUUGAACCCCCAAUGGCAUCAAAUUGUUCACAACUGCUUCACGUCUUCAAGGAAAGAAAUCUGUCAAUGGCCUGAGUUUAUGUCUCUGUGCUUAUUUCAGCUUCCACCUCGGUUACUCUCCCCGAAUUAACAGAGCAUCAGAUUAACCAAGCUCUCUAGUCAAGUGUGGGAUUGCUGGCAUAAUAAACCUAUAGGGGAAUCAUACUCUCUAUAGCCAUCCCAGAGACACAUACUCGGGCUGAGGCUGGAAUCUGGAACAGCACACACAAUGCUGGAGGAACUCAGUGUGUCAGGAAAUAUCUGUGGAAGGAAAUGGAGAGUCAAAGUCUCUGGUUGAGACCCUUCCUCUGCACUGGAAACUAGAGGGGAGAUAGCCAAAUGUAUAAAGAUGG